CUAUGAUUCACAGGGCAAAUAUAGCCUCUUCUUAGGCCAACACCUUUUUUUUUGUUGCUCUGCCUCUGUGGCCAUCCAGUGAGCAAAGUGCACCCCAGAGUGGUGGGAAGAAACUUGCUAACAAGAAAAGGGCAUUUGUUGAUGUUCCACAUUAUGUUGUGGCUCUCAAUAUUACACAGUGCUGCCUCCUGACAGCUGAUCCACGGAAAACCAGGCAAAAUGGAUGACAAUACCCCUGCAAAACCAGCAGGAAGAACCAGGGAAGAAAUCCAGCAGGAAAUGAAGACAGCAGCGGUAAAGUCCUGGCAGAGCAUCACUAAGGUCACGGGGAACCUGGAGCCUAUCACAGGGAGCUUCUGCACAAGGCAGGGUACACCCUGGACAGGGUGCCAGUCCAUCACAGGGCACAAUCACACCCCCAUUUCAUACACUACAGACACUUUGGACAUGCCAAUCAGCCUACCAUGCAUGUCUUUGGACUGGGCGAGGAAACCAGAGUACCUGGAGGAAGCCCCCACAGCACUGGGAGAACAUGCAAACUCCGCACACACAUGGCCCCAGUGGGACUCGAACCCCGGACCCUGGAGGUGUGAGGCGAAUGGGCGAACUAGAAGGUUGUGAGUUCAAAUCCCAGCCCUGCCCAGGACUUUUUAAGAAUUACCCUUAAGCCUUGCCUAUAUACUUAAAUUAGAUUUUGGCUCUAACUUGUUACUUUGCUGUUUGCCAUAUGAAUACAUUAACAAAACAAAACAAACCAACAA